rnacentral:rRNA from 1 species
UGCAAGUCGAGCGGUAACAGGUGUAGCAAUACAUGCUGACGAGCGGCGGACGGGUGAGUAACGCUUGGGAAUCUGCCUGUUAGUGGGGGACAACCCGGGGAAACUCGGGCUAAUACCGCAUACGCACUACGGUGGAAAGCCGGGGACCGCAAGGCCUGGCGCUAACAGAUGAGCCCAAGUCGGAUUAGCUAGUUGGUAGGGUAACGGCCUAACAAGGCGACGAUCCGUAACUGGUCUGAGAGGACGACCAGUCACACCGGAACUGAGACACGGUCCGGACUCCUACGGGAGGCAGCAGUGGGGAAUAUUGGACAAUGGGCGAAAGCCUGAUCCAGCGACGC